AAAAUGCAGAAACAUACUGACUGAUGAAACGUGAAGACAAUGAACAUACCAUUGCGACAAGAUAUGGUUUGUGUGUUUUUCAAGCCAUCUCAAGUUUUCAGUCAGGCGACUGGAGCAGAGACCUGGAGGGCAAAACAUCCAUAGAACUGCAGGACAGGCCUGUCAAUUGCGUCUCAAAAAAGGCAAUAUCAACACCAUACAACAGGCCCUGCUCUCCUCACCAAGAACAACACCCGAGCCAUCACGGACAUGGAAAGGUCUUGACACCUUGCCAAGAGCUGGAUUUUUUUGGAACAGGUGCAUCAACAUGUCCAGGGCCUAACUGUGGCAGGAUGGUAGACACAUAAAAAAGAUACAUGACUGAACAGAUGUGACACAGACAAUACCUCCUGAUCCGAGUCUCUUCAGCCAGCGGAUGCCAUGACGAGUGAUGGGGAGCUCAUUGAGCUGCACACAGUCCUCAAGCAGCUGUCCAGAUGAGGAUGUGCCCAAGAAGAUGCCAGUGUUGGUUGAGGAACUGUGUAGCAAAAACAGAGAGAACUGUAUGGAGAUGUUUGGGAAGAGUGAGAGUGAUUAUCAGAGUGGUAAAAUGUGCAGACGUGUGACAGGCCAGACCAUCCCUACUGAAAAAACAGCAUAUGCUGGUUAAGGUAGGUUUUGGAGCUGGUAUGCUG